AUCAGUUUGUAUGAGGCUAUUUUAACUUUUAUUUGACUAACUUUGAAUUAAUCAAGCAACAAUGGCGAGAGACCCCUCUCAUUAUGACACAAAUGGUUUAGUCCACACCUGCACUAGAUUACGGGCUAAUUUAUUUUAAAACGGUCCAAAAGAGCAAAACAAAGUCAAGUGAGGUUAUUUAUUUAUUUUUUAUUUUUUUUAAAGAACAACACACUUAGAACAGGUAAAGAAAAAGUACAGGAGAGCAGAGUUAACUUAAAAAAGAUGAAGCUUUUAACGGAACAUUAACGGUCAGCGUAACGUUAGUGUGUCUAGGUUCAUAUGAGGUUCAUAUAGGUUAUUUAUCCGUUACUUUCAGGCCAGGUGAACCAGACUGAAGCACCUGCCGCGGUUCAACAGCUCACUGAAGACAACAAGUGAGAUUGGCGGCAUCAUAACUUCGCCUGCUUUCAAUGCUGGAAGGCAAUUGGACGCUUGUGAUGAAGGCUACUUGGUUCAGCCCAAUCGACAUGCUCACAGUAGAUGCCCCCGUAGAGAGGAUACACCGAAAAGAAAGAUGUGGAGGGGUGUUACUGCUGACAAUGGGAUGGAGAAAUGGAGACGGUGGAAGAGGAAGAUGGAACCAUAAAAGGCUGUCUCGGUGAGAAAAGGUUCAUCAUUUUGCUCUCCAUUUCAUCUCACGGUGCUAUAAAAGAGAGAUGAAAUCAGAAGGCUGUCAGGUAAAGGAGAGUAAAACCUUUUGCCUCGUCGCUGAAAUGGACCGAGGAGAGAAAUGGAGAGGUAGAGCGCCCUGCUUCACUUCUCCUUCACAGCAAAAGCUCUUGACUGUCAAGAGAACAAAAACACCUUGCAUCAGGGUUUUACAGGCCGAGUCUUUCAAAGUGGUUUGAAGCCUUUAUUGGAGCACAGUCAGCUUUUAGCAGAGAUUCAGGGGGAAAUGUUCUUUAUGAACUGGGUUAAAUGGCGACAUACAAAGAAGGGCCAUUUUUUUUUAUUUCCAAACGAUUCUGAAAUGCAAGAAAAUCGAGAUAAACCGGUUAUUGUGCCACAGUGAUGAUGUCGCAGUGAUGCUCUCAUUUUGUCUCAUGUUAUAAAUCCAGCACACCCCUUUCCUUCACAGCUGUGUGCUUUCACUGCUCCCUAAAAGGCCAAACUCCCCGUCAGCCAGGCAGUGGCAUGUGUAGUUCAGCUCAAGAUGACGGAGAGAGACUCGUUGGUCGACAGUCGUGUUAAAUAAUUGUAAUCUCAGUAUUGACCAAAAUAAUUAUGAUCGCAUGGUUUUUUUGCCCUAAUUUAAUGUAUGUAUUAUCCUUUCUCCUGUCGAGGUGAAAACCACAGCAGGACUGGUUUGCUCUGAUAUAACCAACCAGUUGAGAUUUCUAUCAACCACCUGGUGUUAAAUGAUAAUUUGAGGCAUGUCUUAAAACAAUACUUAGACAUAUGUACAUUGAAACAUACCGUUUGUACUGACUGGGAAGAAAUCCCCUUUCAUUGUUGUCAAUGUGCAUAAUGGAAGAAUAAUUCCACAGUUUGGUUUGCUGUUCUCCACCACAAAAGUUUAACCAAAUGUAAUUUGAGGCUUCAACAAUUGCAAUGAGUCAAAUUAAGUAGAUGUCUUCCAAGUGUUUUUUUUUAAUUUUGCAUUAAAAC
rnacentral:lncRNA from 1 species